UCUACAUAGAUACAAAGUAGCAUGACCUAAGCCCUAGGCCUUCUUGGCUGGUCUCCAAGGGAAAUCCUGCACCCAGGCCAGAGCAGUCAGGCCGUCUCUGCUGCCACUUUGGGCCUCCAAACAUCUUGCUUCUUAGAGUAACUGUCCCUGAGGAACCAAGACCGGCAGUAUGUUUUCAUCAGAACAGCUUGGGCAGAGCCAUGGAUGAGAGCGUCGGCACAGAGAUUGCCAUCAUCUGGUCUCUGCCAGAACAUUCCACUGACGGCAAGCUCAUUACAGAGCGGGGUAGUCCGUUUCUGUUGUUGGACCGUUCAAUGUCUUCCCAAAUUCUUCCUCGCACUGAACAACAAGCCAUCUCUCGAGGACUUCCACAUUCCGGGCCUACCUCUGCCUUCAUCUCCCAGAUGUCUGCCUACCUACCAGAUGACUGGUAUUUAUCUAUCUAAAAACAAAGCUCUCGAUUUCUAAUUAUGGAGACUCUAAGUCAGGUCUGCUUUUUUCAAUGGGGAACAUCCAGAAGGCACAUUCUUAGACUGCUAACAAUUCCAAAGUAUAGACACAGGGUAUGAACCAGAGGUUAAGAUUUAUUUUUUUAAGGACCUCAGAAUUUCUUGGGGAAUUAAAAAAAGAAAAGAAGAAAAGGAACACACAAGUCAUGGCUAAGACUCUGAUUUGGCAGCUCUGGCCCCCUAGGGACAGCUGGGGGAAGACCGGCCCACCCACUCACUUUGCCACGGCACACAGAGCGCACACACUCCACCGGCUGCCCCGUCUCCAGCUGGAAGGCCCG